GAUGAACGCUAGCGGCAGGCCUAAUACAUGCAAGCCGAACGGCAAGUUUGAUAGCAAUAUUGGACCUAGAGUGGCGCAAGGGUGCGUAACACGUAUGCAACCUGCCCGCGACAGGAGGAUAGCUCCCCGAAAGGGGAAUUAACCCUCCAUAACACCAUGAGAAGGCAUCUGAUUAUGGUUAAACCGCAAGGGGUCGCGGAUGGGCAUGCGGUUGAUUAGCUAGUUGGCGGGGUAAAGGCCCACCAAGGCGGUGAUCAAUAGGGGUUCUGAGAGGAAGGUCCCCCACACUGGCACUGGGAUACGGGCCAGACUCCUACGGGAGGCAGCAGUAGGGAAUAUUGGACAAUGGUUGCAAGACUGAUCCAGCCAUGCCGCGUGCAGGAAGAAGACCUUCUGGGUCGUAAACUGCUUUUUCCUGUGGAUAAAAUACCCGUGCGCGGGGAAUUGAAGGUAACAGGGGAAUAAGCCACGGCUAACUACGUG
rnacentral:rRNA from 1 species